rnacentral:rRNA from 1 species
UACGAAGGGUGCUAGCGUUGUUCGGAAUCACUGGGCGUAAAGCGCGCGUAGGCGGUUAUUCAAGUCAGGGGUGAAAUCCUGAGGCUCAACCUCAGAAUUGCCUUUGAAACUGUAUGACUGGAGUGUCGGAGGGGAUAGCGGAAUUGCUAAUGUAGCGGUGAAAUGCGUAGAUAUUAGCAGGAACACCGGUGGCGAAGGCGGCUAUCUGGACGACAACUGACGCUGAGGCGCGAAAGCGUGGGGAUCAAACAGG